rnacentral:rRNA from 1 species
UACGGAGGGUGCAAGCGUUAUCCGGAUUCACUGGGCUUAAAGGGUGCGUAGGUGGGUCUGUAAGUCAGUGGUGAAAUCUCCAAGCUUAACUUGGAAACUGCCGUUGAUACUAUAGACCUUGAAUGUUGUGGAGGUGAGCGGAAUAUGUCAUGUAGCGGUGAAAUGCUUAGAUAUGACAUAGAACACCAAUUGCGAAGGCAGCUCACUACACAAAGAUUGACACUGAGGCGCGAAAGCGUGGGGAGCAAACAGG